rnacentral:rRNA from 1 species
AGUGAACGCUGGCGGCGUGCCUAAUACAUGCAAGUCGAACGAAGUGGCGCACGGGUGAGUAAUAUAUAGUUAAUCUGCCCUCCACAGAGGGACAACAGUUGGAAACGACUGCUACUACCUCCUAGUGUAGGCUGAGACUCUAUCGUAUCAGCUAGUUGGUAAGGUAAUGGCUUACCAAGGCUAUGACGCGUAACUGGUCUGAGAGGAUGAUCAGUCACAUUGGAAGGGAGGCACCGUCGAAACUCCUACGGGAAGCAGCAGUAAGGAAUAUUGCGCAAGGGGGGAAACCCAGACGCAGCAACGCCGCGUGGAGGAUGACACUCGUCGGAGCGUAAACUCCGGUUAUCAGGAAAGCGGUACCUGAUGAAGAAGCACCGGCUAACUCCGUGCCAGCAGCCGCGGUAAUAC